UACGAAGGGGGCUAGCGUUGUUCGGAAUCACUGGGCGUAAAGGGCGCGUAGGCGGCCGAUCAAGUCGGGGGUGAAAGCCUGUGGCUCAACCACAGAAUUGCCUUCGAUACUGUUUGGCUUGAGACCGGAAGAGGUUAGUGGAACUGCGAGUGUAGAGGUGAAAUUCGUAGAUAUUCGCAAGAACACCAGUGGCGAAGGCGGCUGACUGGUCCGGUUCUGACGCUGAGGCGCGAAAAGCGUGGGGGAGCAAACAGG
rnacentral:rRNA from 1 species